rnacentral:rRNA from 1 species
AUUGAACGCUGGCGGCAGGCCUAACACAUGCAAGUCGAGCGGAUGAGAGGAGCUUGCUCUUCGAUUCAGCGGCGGACGGGUGAGUAAUGCCUAGGAAUCUGCCUAGUAGUGGGGGACAACGUUUCGAAAGGAACGCUAAUACCGCAUACGUCCUACGGGAGAAAGUGGGGGAUCUUCGGACCUCACGCUAUUAGAUGAGCCUAGGUCGGAUUAGCUAGUUGGUAGGGUAAAGGCCUACCAAGGCGACGAUCCGUAACUGGUCUGAGAGGAUGAUCAGUCACACUGGAACUGAGACACGGUCCAGACUCCUACGGGAGGCAGCAGUGGGGAAUAUUGGACAAUGGGCGAAAGCCUGAUCCAGCCAUGCCGCGUGUGUGAAGAAGGCCCUCGGGUCGUAAAGCACUUUAAGUUGGGAGGAAGGGCUUACAGCGAAUACCUGUGAGUUUUGACGUUACCGACAGAAUAAGCACCGGCUAACUUCGU